GACGAACACUGGCGGCAUGCCUAAUACAUGCAAGUCGAGCGGAGUUGAUGGAAAGCUUGCUUUCCUGAUACUUAGCGGCGGACGGGUGAGUAACACGUAGGCAACCUGCCCUCAAGCUUGGGACAACUACCGGAAACGGUAGCUAAUACCGAAUACUUGUUUUCUUCGCCUGAAGGAAACUGGAAAGACGGAGCAAUCUGUCACUUGGGGAUGGGCCUGCGGCGCAUUAGCUAGUUGGUGAGGCAACGGCUCACCAAGGCGACGAUGCGUAGCCGACCUGCGAGGGUGAUCGGCCACACUGGGACUGAGACACGGCCCAGACUCCUACGGGAGGCAGCAGUAGGGAAUCUUCCGCAAUGGGCGAAAGCCUGACGGAGCAAUGCCGCGUGAGUGAUGAAGGUUUUCGAAUCGUAAAGCUCUGUUGCCAGGGAAGAACGCUUGGGAGAGUAACUGCUCCCAAGGUGACGGUACCUGAGAAGAAAGCCCCGGCUAACUACGUGCCAGCCGCCGCCGUAA
rnacentral:rRNA from 1 species